GGCAGAAGCGCCUGGUUUCGUACCGGGAAGAGCUUCUUCCAUUCCAAAGAACAUUGCCGUCGUCCUCAUGUCCCUUCAUCCUGGAGAAUUUGCCCGAUCGUUCGGGCAGAUAACGCCGCCUUUGGGCGCACGGGCUUGCCCGCCGAGGCCGAUUGGCUGCAGGUGGGGCCGGUAGCUCAGGUGGUUAGAGCGUACGCCUGAUAAGCGUAAGGUCGGAGGUUCGAGUCCUCCUCGGCCCACCAAGGACGCGCCGUUUGGAUGACCUUUUUGCGAGGUUUGUUCAGGCGAUCAUGGUUGGGGGCCUUAGCUCAGCUGGGAGAGCACCUGCUUUGCAAGCAGGGGGUCAUCGGUUCGAUCCCGAUAGGCUCCACCAUUUCGACACUCCAGAGAUGAAGACAACAUAUUCCGGUGCGGACAAGGGUUCGCAUCGGUUGCGCAGGCCACAAGAUGGUCUGUUCUUUGACAUUGUGAAUGGGUUUUUUUAAUCGAUGCCGUGGUUGCAUCGUGCCGAUCUCGAAAGGGAAGGGCGCGUUGCCAAUCACACAUUCAUUUCAAAAUGAAUAUCUGGCUGAGAAUAAUCAUCCACACCGAAAAAGCCGUGGCAGCAUGCCGAGAGGCUGGGGUGCGGGCUGGUGCAGGUACAAGACUGCAUGGGCCGUACAUCCUGCCAGUGCUGACA
rnacentral:tRNA from 1 species